rfam:Ovis aries breed Texel chromosome 15, whole genome shotgun sequence.
UCCCUGGUGGUCCAGUGGUUAGGACUCUGUGCUUCCACUGCAGGGUCCUGGGUUUGAUCCCUUGUUGGGAAA